AAUGAGUGAAGCCCUUACCUCAGAACUGUUCAUGGACGAAAGGGUCUGCAUUGGGAAGAAGUGGGUUCUUGGAAGGAUCCAAGCAUAGGCUGGACAAGCUCUUGCCUGGAAUGUGAGGACUUUUCUCAGGCACGAGGAAGCACUCCCUCCUCCGGACGGAUGCAAGCACUGGCAUGGAGCCCGCAGGGGACCUGGCUGCCUCUAAGACGUGGUGAGUACGGGGACAGGCCCCAGCUCUGCUGGCUGACCAGGCACAGCCCUACCAUGGAGUGGGUGGACGAGAUGGCCUCCCAUCGGGGCCUGGGAAUCACCUCCUCUGCUGGCCCAGCAGGUUCUCUCCCAUGCUGCUGCUGUGAUGAGUCUCACUCUGUCACCAAGGCUGGAAUGCAGCGGGGUGAUCUCGGCUCACUGCAACCUCUGCUUCCCAAGUUCAAGUGAUUCUCCUGCCUCAGCCUCCCAAGUAGCUGGGACCACAGGACCACAGAUGGGUGUCAUCAUUCCUGGCUAAUUUUUUAAAUGGAGAUGGGGUUUUGUCAUGUUGGCCAGGCUAGUCUUGAACUCCUGACGUCAGAUGAUCCAUCCACCUUGGCCUCCCAAAGUACUGGAAUUACAGGCAUGAGCCACUGCACCCAGCUGAUGAGCCCAUCUUGACACCUGACUACUAAUUCAAGGCAUGGCUUACAUUGGAUUCACUCUUUGUGUACAGUUUUACGGAUUUUGACAAAUUAUAGUGUCACCCAGAAAAGCUUCACUGACCUAAAAAUCCCCUGUGCUCCACCUACCCAUAAUUCCCCCUCUUUCCCAAUCCCUGGCAACCACUGAUUUUUUUACUGUCUUCAUAGUUUUGCCAUUUUCAUAAUGUUACCGUGUUGGGCUACUCUUGUGUUGCUAUAAAGAAAAAUCUGAGACUGAGUACUUCAUAAAGAAAAGAGGUUUAAUUGGCUCAUGGUUCUGCAGGAUGUACAGGAAGCAGGGUGCUGGCAUCUGCUCAGCUUCUGGCAAGGCCUCAGGAAACUUACAAUCUUAUAAAGAUGAAGAAAGAGCAGGGAUCUCACAUGGCCAGAGCAGGAACAAAAGGUUGGGGAGAUCUCGUGAGAACUCACUCAGGAUUGCAAGGAUAGUACUAAGCCAUGAGGGAUCUGCCCCCAUGACCCAAACACCUUUCACCAGGCCCCACUUCCACUGGGGAUUAUAACUCCAUAUGAGAUUUAGAGAGGACAAAUUCAAACUAUAUCAGCCAUAUAGUUGGAAUUAUGCAGUAUGUAAUGUUUUCAGAUUGACAUCUUUACUUAGCAAUACACCUUUAAGUUUCCUCGAUGUCUUUCCAUAGCUCAACCACUCAUUUCUUUUUAGCACUGAAUAAUAUUCUGUUGUCUGGAUGUACCACAGUUUAUUUAUAUGUAUCACAUGCUGAAGGCAUCUUGAUUGCUUCCAAGUU
rnacentral:lncRNA from 13 species